AGAUCGAUGAUGACUCCUAAAUAUACAUUCCUUGGAAAUCUGAUCAAAAUGGGUGAAAAGCCUAUACCAUCAUCUUAAUCGAACUGGAGUCC
rnacentral:snoRNA from 1 species